rnacentral:lncRNA from 1 species
GGCAAGGGUGGCCGACGAGUAUGUGGGCUUAGCCCCCACCUUCCGCCACAUGGGCCUUGGUGGGAGGGGCUGGUGUGCACCCUCUCAUAGACGAUGGGCCCUCCGGGGUAGCUGGACCCUCCCAGUGGGCCCCCGAAACACUUUCGGCACUCCCAUCACAAAAUUAGCAUAUCUCGAAACUUUUCCCGACCUUGAAAACCAACUUCCUACAUAUCAAUCUUUACCUCCGGACCACUCUGAAGCACCUCGUCAUGCCUGAGAUCUCAUCCGGGACACCGAACAACUUCUGGUUACCACCACACAUAAAUCAUUAAAACCAAAUCACCACCGAACUUUAAGUGUGCAGACCCUACGGGUUCGAGAACUGUCUAAACAUGACUGAGGCACUCUCCGGUCAAGAACCAAUAGCGGAACCUGGAUGUGCAUAUCGGCUCCUACAUAUUCUACAAAGAUCUUUAUCAGUUGAACCACAAUGUCAAGGAUUCAACCAAUCCCGUAUAUUGUUCCCUUUGUCCAUCGGUAUGUUACUUGCCCAAGAUUCGAUCGUCGAUAUCUGCACACCUAGUUCAGUCUCGUAACGGCAAGUCUGUUUACUCAUUCCACAAUACAAGAUCCCGUGGCUAACUCUGUAGUCACAUUUCUUGCAAGCUUGUUGUGAUGUUGAAUUACCGAGUGAGCCCCGAGAUACCUCUCCGUCACACGGAGUGAAAAAUCCGAGUCUUGAUCCAUGCCAACUCAACAAACACCCUCGGACAUACCUAUAGAGCACCUUUAUAGUCACCCGGUUAUGUUGCGAUGUUUGAUACACACAAGGUACUCCUCCGGUGUUAGUGAGUUAAAUGUUCUCAUGGUCAUAGGAACAGAUACUUGACAUACAAAAAACAAUAGCAAUAAACUAACAUGAUCAUAUGCUACGUUCAUUGUUUGGGUCUUGUCCAUCACAUCAUUCUCCUAAUGAUGCGAUCCCAUUAUGAAAUGAAAACUCAUGUCUAUGGCUAGGAAACCUUGACCAUCUUUGAUCAACGAGCUAGUCGUUUAGAGGCUCACUAGGGACAGUGUGUCUUCUAUGUAUCCACACAUGUAUUUGAGUUUCCAAUCAAUACAAUUCUUGCAUGGAUAAUAAACGAUCUUCAUGAACAAGGAAAUAUAAUAAUAACCACUUUAUUAUUGCCUCUAGGGCAUAUUUCCAACAAUAUGUCCCCAACGUAUCUAUAAUUUUUUUAUUGUUCCAUAUUGUAAUAUUAUCAUUCUAGGAUACUCGUUGGGCAUUUAUUUGUUGAUUCAUAUUACUUUUGAGGACUAACCUAUUAACCUAGUGCCAAGUUCCAGUUGUUUUUUUCUGCAUAUUUUUGGCUUUUCAGGUUUACUAUACCAAACGGAGUCCAAAUACCACAACACUUUUUGAUGAUUUUCUGUGGACCAAAAGGAGACUUAGAAGCUUCAGGACGAGGUGAGGGGAUACACGAGGGACCCACAAGCCAACACGGCACGCCCACGGGGGUGGCUGCACCGUGUUAGCUUGUGGGCCACACCCUCAUCUCCUGACCUUGUUCUCAGGUUUAAGAUUCCCAUAUAUUCUAAAAACCCUAGGAGGGCUCCCAAAACACUUUUUUCGCUGCCGCAAGUUUCUAUUCCGUUGUGUGCCCAUCUGGAGCCCUGUUCUGGUGCUCUAUCAAAGAGGGGACCGAUCACGAGGGCCUUUACAUCAUCCUUUCUGCUCCCAUGGUGAUGUAUGAGUAGUCUACCACAGACCUACAGUUGCAUAGCUAGUAUCUAGAUGGCUUUCUCUCUCUAUGUUCUUCAACAUAAAUUUCAUCGCAUCUUCGGGAUGAUCGAUUCAAUGUAAUCACUUUCUGCGGUGUGUUUGUGGGGAUAUGUUAAAUUGUGG